AGAAAGGAUUUAAAUGGCAGCUCAGAAAUAGUAGAAAACACAGCCCAACAGCUUUGGCUUGAAUUACAGCUCUCCUGUAACUGAUAUAGUGUUUUUC
ensembl:miRNA Mir195b microRNA 195b